AUGCUUCCAGCCCGGAUUGAGGAGCUGAAAAAAUCCGCUGCCCAAACCGGAGCCAUCAAUGCCUUAAUCCGGGCAAAGGCAUGGGUGCCCGACUUUGAUCCUAUGGAAGCAGCUCAAGGCUAUCCCAGUCUGAAAGAAGAUGGCUCUGAAUUCAACGAAGAGGAUUUAAGGGCCAUAAACCGUGCAGUGCGCCCGCUGGCUUGCCAGCUAGCUGAAGAGGCAGAUUUGACGCAUUAUCAAGCAGAAUAUAAUAAUCAAAACAAGCGAGUGCCGGCCCCAACUGUUGAAGCGGAGAAUCUGAUUCCUCCAAUCCGUAAGCACACUUACGCCCCUGAUAUUGAACCGUCUUCCCUGAUCCAUGAAGAGGCUGUUUUCCAAGCUUUAAUGGGAAUCGACUGGACCACUGUUGAUUUCCAGCCAAUGGGUAGAGACGAGGAAGCUGAAGCGGCGGAGGAUGAGGAGCAGGCUUGA
rnacentral:rRNA from 1 species